rnacentral:rRNA from 1 species
CACGCCGUAAACGAUGAUAACUAGCUGUCUGGGCACUUGGUGCUUAGGUGGCGCAGCUAACGCAUUAAGUUAUCCGCCUGGGGAGUACGGCCGCAAGGUUAAAACUCAAAGAAAUUGACGGGGGCCUGCACAAGCGGUGGAGCAUGUGGUUUAAUUCGAAGCAACGCGCAGAACCUUACCAACGUUUGACAUCCCUAUCGCGAUUACCAGAGAUGGUUUUCUUCAGUUCGGCUGGAUAGGUGACAGGUGC